UUUCCUUUUUUUUUCUUUUUUUUCUCUUUUUUUUUCUGUGACUAUUAAAUUAGUUUGAAAGUUGCAUUUAUCCUUUCUGCAAUAGAUGACCUAAAACAAACUAAUUAUGACAGAAUUAAUCACUUUCCCUUCCAUUUACACCGGACCUUAGUUAUGAUGGACUGUGCAGUUCCUUGUAACAAAACCACAGCAAACCAAAGUUUUUCACACCUUCAUAUCUCCCUCCCUCCCACAUACCUUCCUCUCUACUCAUUUC
rnacentral:ribozyme from 12 species